rnacentral:rRNA from 1 species
UACGUAGGGUGCAAGCGUUAAUCGGAAUUACUGGGCGUAAAGAGCUCGUAGGCGGCUUGUCGCGUCGGAUGUGAAAACCUGCAGCUCAACUGCAGGCUUGCAUCCGAUACGGGCAGGCUAGAGUUCGGUAGGGGGAGACUGGAAUUCCUGGUGUAGCGGUGAAAUGCGUAGAGAUGUGGAGGAACACCAGUGGCGAAGGCGACUCUUUGGUCUGUAACUGACGCUGAGGCGCGAAAGCUAGGGGGAGCAAACGGG